rnacentral:misc_RNA from 1 species
AUGGAUUCGCANGCGACGGCGGGCUCCCUGCCACUGUGCAGCCAACCGCCGUCGCUGCAGCCCCUUCACUCAUGCUCCAACCACUCGGAGCCUCCCGCGUUGCCUGUACAACAUACCCGGUUCUCGGGCAAAGGACUUCGUCCAACACGCUCGUCCGCUCCCCUCGCCUUCGUGCGGACGCGGAGCGGCAACGUCGGCGGUCCUCGUGUUCCCUCGGACGACGGCACGGCUUCGGCCCCUCGUCUCGUCCCGAUCGGCCCUCGGGGAUUCGCCAGCGCUCGCGGACACGGUAGACAAUGUUGGCUCGGGGCCUUCGCAGCCCCCGCACCACGAUCGGUCGGCUCACUUCGCCGCCCUCAACGAGACGACCGUCGGGCCCGUCGUCCCCCCACCCCUCGCCAAACGGCG